GACGUAGGGUGCAAGCGUUGUCCGGAUUUAUUGGGCGUAAAGAGCUCGUAGGCGGCUUGUUGCGUCGACUGUGAAAACCCGCGGCUUAACCGCGGGCUUGCAGUCGAUACGGGCAGGCUAGAGUCCGGUAGGGGAGCAUGGAAUUCCUGGUGUAGCGGUGAAAUGCGCAGAUAUCAGGAGGAACACCAGUGGCGAAGGCGGUGCUCUGGGCCGGAACUGACGCUGAGGAGCGAAAGCGUGGGGAGCAAACAGG
rnacentral:rRNA from 1 species